UGGGAGGCGGAGGUUGCGGUGAGCCGAGAUUGCUCCACUGCACUCCAGCCUGGUGCCUGGCGACAGCGUGAGACUCUGUCUCAAAAAAAAAAAAGAUAGAGAAAGGUGGAGGGACGGGGGGGGGGCACUCACGUAGGGGAGGAUAUUUUGAUUGAACACAGGCUUGACAGAAUCUUAUUUUCUUCUUCGAAAUCCUAGAAAACAGAAAACAACAGGAAGAUGUCUUAUUGGAAAAUACUGCCAUCAAUUUCACCAUGAGUCAAACAAGGAAGAACAGUUCCUCAGAAGGAGAAACAAAGUCCCAGACUUCAUUUGUCAACAAAUUUCUCAGGGAUUCCAAAGCCGAAAGCAGAGAAGAGAAAAAUGACCUUCAAAUAACCGAUUCCCAACCGGGUGACUGGAUACAGAAGACAGCCACCUCAGACACCGCUAAGCCUCUCAAUUCAGGAAUGGAACUGAGAUCCAGUAUGGAGGAAAAUGAGCAGUUCCUGCAGAAGCUGGGCAAAAAGGCUGUCGACAAGUGUCUGGAUCUGAAUAGCUGCGGAUUAACAACGGCAGACAUGGAAGAAAUGGUUGCCUUGCUGCCUUUUCUCCCGGACUUGGAAGAACUGGAUAUCUCCUGGAAUGAUUUUGUAGGUGGAAAUCUCCAUUCCAUCACUCAGCAAAUGCAUCUGGUCAGCAAAUUAAGAAUCCUGAGGCUGGGUAGCUGCAGACUUAACACUGAUGACGUUCGAGCACUGGGAGAAGCACUUGAGAUGAUUCCUGAACUUGAGGAGCUAAAUUUGUCUUGGAACAGUAAAGUGGGAGGAAAUUUGCCUCUGAUCCUUCAGAAGUUCCAAAAAGGGAGCAAGAUACAAAUCCUGGAGCUUGUGGAUUGUGCCCUCACUUCAGAAGAUGGCGCAUUUCUGGGUCAAGUGCUGCCGAUGCUGCAAAGCCUUGAAGUACUUGAUCUUUCCGUGAAUAGAGACAUUGGUGGCAGUCUAAACAGUAUUGCUCAGGGAUUAAAAAGUACCUCAAAUCUGAAAGUACUGAAGUUACAUUCAUGUGGAUUGUCACAAACGAGUGUCAAAAUAUUGGAUGCUGCUUUUAGGUACUUAGGUGAGCUGAGGAAAUUAGAUCUUUCCUGCAAUAAGGAUCUAGGUGGAGGUUUUGAAGACUCGCUGGCUCAGGUGGUCAUGCUAAAGCAUCUGGAAGUCCUAGAUCUUCACCAGUGCUCACUAACAGCAGAUGACGUGAUGUCACUGACCCAGGUCAUUCCUCUACUCUCAAAUCUUCAAGAAUUGGAUUUGUCAGCCAAUAAAAAGAUGGGCAGUUUUUCUGAAAACUUACUCAGCAGGCUCCGAUUUUUACCAGCAUUGAAGUCAUUAGUCAUCAACAACUGUGCUUUGGAGAGUGAGACUUUUACAGCUCUUGCUGAAGCCUCCGUUCACCUCUCUGCUCUAGAAGUAUUCAACCUUUCUUGGAACAAGUGUGUUGGUGGCAACUUGAAGCUGCUUCUGGAAACACUAAAGCUUUCCAUGUCUCUUCAAGUGCUGAGGCUGAGCAGCUGUUCCCUGGUGACAGAGGACGUGGCUCUCCUGGGUGUGUAUCUACUUGUUCCCAAGCGGUCUCGGUACACAGAACAGAGGGUACCAUCCCUGCAAAGCAUGGAGUGGGGAGGUUGGGGAGGCAUGAGACCUAGGGUGAAGCCCUCUAUGCGGAUUCCCUUCUCCCCAAUAUCUGCUGAGAGGUCUAAUUAGAAUGAGCAAAGGCAAUUCUAAAACCACAUGGCAGUGGAGGAUGUUUCAUAAAAGGAUAUGGAUAUAGAUAUGUGGGGAGGUUCCUGAAAGGCAUACAGCUCCGUUCCACACCUCCCGGUCCAUGAGUGUUCCCACUUCAGUUAUCUACAUUUCACCCCAUCGACAUGGUUCCUAUACUACUACUUAACUUUUCCUUUAAAUUGACUCCAAUUUAAAUGCUUUUAUUUAAGGAGGAAACUGAUUAUCGCUAUCAUAUAUGAUAGCUGUAUCAUAAAUGAAAUACAGCUAUCAUUUCCUAUAGAUAUUAGACUGCUGAUGUCUUUGAUUAGAGGCUCCUUCUCUCUAUUAGAAAAAGAUGACAGAGGUUAAAGGUAUACUGUAGUACUGAUCUGAUACUUUUUCCACGUCAGUCUAGAGAGAUGAAAAGAUAAUUGAAUAAGAAAUAACUUUUGCACUGUGGGAUUCCAGUGAAAAUAUUCCAAAUAUUCCCUAAAAUCAUUUGGUGUGUCCACUCCCAUUAUAAAACAAUGAUUCAGAAAGUACUGUCUUUGUCUCCCAGCUAGCCUUGUCCUCUCGCCUCAAUCACUAUUCAGCCAUCAGCUGCCAGAAUUCCAAAGCAAUGAACACGACUCCAAGUGAAGGGCCAGAAUAGAAUGCUCACUCCAGGUAGUUGUAUCUGUGUUCUCAGUGUAUAUACCAGUCAGUUUUGCUAUGACACGACACAUGGGCCUAAAAAUUAUGUAUUAUGCAAGAAUUAUGCUGUAAUAACCAUAGGACUUAUGGUUGGAGGCACCACACUCGAACACUUCAUCACUGGCAUAUUUUAAGAAACAGAAGCUAUGAAAAAUAGUAAUAUAGUUUUACAUAUUAAAUAGUUAAGAAAUACGCCAGUAUUACACUUUCCUCUGAGAAAGACCUGAAGUUUGUCUGUAGAAGUGGCCUGUCCAGGAAUUCAAGACCGCAGUGAGUUAUGAUUGCCCCACUGCACUCCAGCCUGGGUGACCGAGCAAGACCCUGUCUCAGGAAAAACCAACCAAACAAAAGAACAUACAUAUAAAUGAAAUGUGGCAUUUCUGGAUCGGAAACUGGAAAAGAAAAAGAAUAGGCGCAGAAAAGUGGUUAAAUCUGAAUAAAAUUUAUAUAGUUUAGUUUCACUGUAUAACCUUGGAAUAUUAUUCGAUGGGCAUGUAAUAUCUAUUUUAAAACAUAAAAUUUAGCUUUUUUUUUUUUUUAAAAAAAGAAGUGGCCUGUCCACAAUUCCGUUGGUGGAAAGAGGGUAUGUGGAUGGGUGAGGGUUGUUGUAUUCAUGAGGUGUGUGCAUGUCUGCAUUUUGUUUAUUUAAUUUAUUUAUUUAGAAGGAGUCUCUCUGUGUCACCCAGACUAGAGUACAGUGGCUCUAUGUCAGCUCCCUACAACCUCUGCGUUCCGGGUUCAAGCAAUUCUCCUGCUUCAACCUCUUGAGUAGCUGGGAUUACAGGUGCACACCACCACGCCCGGCUAAUUUUUGUAUUUUUAGUAGAGGCGAGGGCUCUUUCCCACAAAGAAAAUUCCAAAUUUAGAUGGCUUCAAUGGUGAAUUCUGUGACACAAUUAAGGAAGAAAUAAUACUAAUUUUACACAAUCUUUCUGGAAAAUAAAAGAAGAAAUGGUACAUGCGUCCGUCUUCAGCCAAACCCAGGAAUGGAUGCAGAGAUCAGGUGAGUUGUAUAGAAUCUCAGAGUUGCAAGGGAUCUUGGAAGUCUCCUUGAUCCAACCUCCUCAUCAAUAAUCGGAGAGAAAUCCUUUUCACAGGCUCUCUACUAAUGACCACCACAAUUCUGCCUGAACUGUUUCAAGUUUGCCCCAGCAUUAUGGAGCGACUUAGCAGGAGGAAGCCCUCCCACUGGGCCCCAGUCUGUCUUCUGGUGUCUUUCAGCCAGUGUGUCUGUCAGUCAGCUGAAACGGUCAGCUCCUUCUUACUCAUGUCAGCCCUACAGUGUUGGGCAACAGCCAGGUCUCCCUCAAAUGUUCUCCCUCUAGGACCAAACGUGCCCUGGUCUUUCAGUCCUUCCUCACACGGCAUGGCUUUCAGACCAAGGAGAACGCUCCAACGCCAACACUUUCACACAUCGGUUAUACAGACGGGUCAUCUGGCCAAACUGCGAAAGCUGGACCUGAGCUAUAAUGACAGCGUCUGUGAUGCAGGGUGGACCAUGUUCUGCCAAAAGGUGCGGUUCCUCAAAGAGCUAA